rnacentral:rRNA from 1 species
GACGAACGCUGGCGGCGUGCUUAACACAUGCAAGUCGAACGGAAAGACCCUGCUUUUGUGGGGUGCUCGAGUGGCGAACGGGUGAGUAACACGUGAGUAACCUGCCCUUGACUUUGGGAUAACUUCACGAAACUGGGGCUAAUACCGGAUAGGAGCUCCUGCUGCAUGGUGGGGGUUGGAAAGUUUCGGCUGUUGGGGAUGGACUCGCGGCUUAUCAGCUUGUUGGUGUGGUAGUGGCUUACCAAGGCUUUGACGGGUAGCCGGCCUGAGAGGGUGACCGGCCACAUUGGGACUGAGAUACGGCCCAGACUCCUACGGGAGGCAGCAGUGGGGAAUAUUGCACAACGGGCGGAAGCCAGAUGCAGCAACGCCGCGUGCGGGAUGACGGCCUUCGGGUUGUAAACCGCUUUCGCCUGUGACGAAGCGUGAGUGACGGUAAUGGGUAAAGAAGCACCGGCUAACUACGUG